GAUAAUUUUAUUUUUCAAAACCCCCAGACUCAUUCUCCUCGACAUCCUCUCCAUCAGCACUUCCGGUCAUCUCUUUCAUCCCACUCCCACUCCCACUCCCACUCCGUCCUUCCCUCGUUCGCCGCAUCUCCUCCCACGUCCCCCAACACGACUUCUUCUUUUCUGGCGUCGAACGCCCGCAUCUCCAUCGGAACCGUACUCCGCUUCCUCUCUUCCUCCUCCUCCUCCUCCCUUCGUUUUGGCCCCGAUCGCCGGGAACUAGGGUUAGGGUUUCGUUUUCAAUAUCGAUUUGGAGGUGUGAUCAGUGUUUCGCUUCGAACUUCAGUUUUUGUGCUUUGCAUCGUCGAUGGCGGUGGGCUGAUGCUUUUCAUUCUCGUUUGGCGCCGGUCGGGUGAGCAGUGACCUCUUCUCCGCCGCAUCAUCGUCGCCGGAACCCUAGAUUUGGGAGGCACGCUCCCAGUGCGCCGUGCCAGUGCAAAUGUUGUCAAAAUAUGCUGUUCCUUCUGGAGAGUGGCCUGAUUUAUUGCCUUUUCUUUUCCAAUGUGGACAAAGUUCACAAGAGGAUCAUAGAAAGGUGGCUUUGAUACUUUUCAGUUCUCUGACAGAAACAAUUGGGUCGGUUCCAGUCCCAUUUGACAAAUCUACAACCUUUACUUUUGAAAUGUUUGCAAGAUGAGAGCAGCACACGCGUUAGAGUUGCUGAUCUGAAGUGGCUGUUGGAUCUUUUAUAGAGUUCAUUAAUGAAGGCAAUGAUGUGAUUUUCGAUGAAGUUCUUGGUUCUGGUAGAGAUGUUCCAUGAUGCUUGCUUUGCACUAGACAAAUUUUACAUGAUGUCAUGAUCCUAGAACUAUCACCUAAGAAAAGAAACUAGUAUGGCCUCAGGAGCUGGGGGCGGAUUGCUGUCAUAAUCGAUGGGUUGCCUUCAUGGCUGUGGAUGAUGAUGACUUGUCAAUUCCCAAGCUGAUCACUUGACAGAAAGUGAUACACCCAAUUGAUCUUUUGCCAUUAGAUGAACUAUAAUAUCCAAUACAAUGAAGUAGGAAAUGAGUUCAAAAUAGCUAACUCAUUUCCUACUUCAUGUUUGAAUAAGUUCUGGAUUCAUCUGUUUAUGGAAUAUCUGUUCACAUUAUGGGCUUGCUUUAUAAUUUACAAGCAGUAUUACAAUUAUGGCUGGAGCCCUGCUUUGACAAUAUCGAAGGUGUUGGUAGCCAUCAGAUCUGUUUUCACCACCCCAGAUCCAUAUAAGCCAGUUAUGCCAAACAUUGCUCGUCUAUACCUAACAGAUCGAGCUAAACAUGAUGAAAUUGCGGCAGAGUGGACAAUGCGAUUUGCCAGAUAGAAUAUUCAGUUGUAUAACAACAAAUUCACUCAUGUCUUUGCUUGUAUUACAGCAUUCCAGUCCACCUGAAUAUCAGAAAAAGCUACUUUGACUGGUGUGUCCUUAGCGAACAAAUGGACUUCAUGCGCACAUCUAUUCCUACGACACCACCAAGAGAAGAGGUAGAGUGCAGGUAAUUAGAUUGCUGCCAGAUGCCGUCGGUACUACCUGCAGUAAGCAUCUUGAGAAGGUACUUGGAACAGAAUACACUCACAUUCUUUGUGUUCCAUUUAGAACAGAGAAGGGAAUUGCCCGUAAAGGGUCUCUCACUUUGAAGUAUGGCCUUACCUAGAGACAUACAUCGAAGUUUUUAUUUCUGCGACUGUUAGAUGCCUGAAUAUCGUGAAAGCUGCAUUUUAAUUGAUGCAUCUCUAAUGGUGCUUUGUUCUGUGCUCGCUAUCAGGAUGUUGCCAAUGAGUUGGUCAGAGAAUUGCAGGAGACUCCUGAUUUGAUGAUUUGAAACUAUAGUGAUGGCAAUUUAGUAGCAUCAUUGCUUGCUCAUAAAUUAGGAGUUACUCAGGUCCAUAUCCUAGCAUGUUUUUGGCAUGUAAACUCAUGACAUGCAUGAAUUCCACAUUCUAAUUUGGUUCAUCAUUUUAAUUUAUGCCGUGUACCUGGAGAAAAUAAAGUACCCAAAUUCAGAUAUAUAUUGGAAGAAUUUCGAAGACCAGUACCAUUUCUCUUGUCAAUUCACAGCUGAUUUGAUUAUGAUGAACCAUGCCGACUUCAUCAUCAGAGAUUGCUGGAAGGUAUUAGCUUGUUCCUUAGCAGCUUAGUUAUACUUGCAGCUUAAUUGUUUUUAGCAACGAUAUAGUGGGCCAAUACAAGUCACAUAUAUACUACCUUCACUAUUCCUAAGCUAUAGCGUGUGGUUCAUGGCAUCGAUGUCUUUGCUACAAAGUUCAACAUUGUGCCUCUUGGUACUGAUUUGUCCAGUUACUUCCCCUAUACGAAACAGAACAAUAGCAACCCCUGCUUCAGUUGCAGAAGCCCCCAAGAAAUCAAAGAAGUGAGCCAAGAAGACCUAAAAUUGCUAGAUAUCAUAACUAGAACUAGAAAAUUAAGCUUGUUUGAAAUUUUAUGGAAGGAUAUUUGUUUUAUAUAUGUUUUGUUUGUUUAUGGGAGAUAUCUCUAUUACUGCAAUUUUUUGAUACAGACUCAUCCAUAACCUUAU